GACGAACGCUGGCGGCGUGCUUAACACAUGCAAGUCGAACGGAAAGGCCCUGCUUUUGUGGGGUGCUCGAGUGGCGAACGGGUGAGUAACACGUGAGUAACCUGCCCUUGACUUUGGGAUAACUUCAGGAAACUGGGGCUAAUACCGGAUAGGAGCUCCUGCUGCAUGGUGGGGGUUGGAAAGUUUCGGCGGUUGGGGAUGGACUCGCGGCUUAUCAGCUUGUUGGUGGGGUAGUGGCUUACCAAGGCUUUGACGGGUAGCCGGCCUGAGAGGGUGACCGGCCACAUUGGGACUGAGAUACGGCCCAGACUCCUACGGUAGGCAGCAGUGGGGAAUAUUGCACAAUGGGCGGUAGCCUGAUGCAGCAACGCCGCGUGCGGGAUGACGGCCUUCGGGUUGUAAACCGCUUUCGCCUGUGACGAAGCGUGAGUGACGGUAAUGGGUAAAGAAGCACCGGCUAACUACGUG
rnacentral:rRNA from 1 species